AUUGAACGCUGGCGGCAGGCCUAACACAUGCAAGUCGAGCGAGCGGCGGACGGGUGAGUAAUGUAUGGGGAAUGCCAGAUAGAGGGGGAUAACAACUGGACACGGUGGCUAAUACCGCAUAAUGUAGGAUAAGCAAUAUGGGAUUAGCUAGUAGGUAAGGUAAUGGCUUACCAAGGCGACGAUCCCUAGGUGGUCUGAGAGGAUGAUCAGCCACACUGGGACUGAGACACGGCCCAGACUCCUACGGAGGCAGCAGUGGGGAAUAUUGCACAAUGGGCGCAAGCCUGAUGCAGCCAUGCCGCGUGUAUGAAGAAGGCCCUAGGGUUGUAAAGUACUUUCAGUCGGGAGGCGUUACCGACAGAAGAAGCACCGGCUAACUCCGUGCCAGCCGCCGCGGUAAUAC
rnacentral:rRNA from 1 species